rnacentral:rRNA from 1 species
UACGGGGGGGGCAAGCGUUGUUCGGAAUUACUGGGCGUAAAGGGCUCGUAGGUGGCCAACUAAGUCAGACGUGAAAUCCCUCGGCUUAACCGGGGAACUGCGUCUGAUACUGGAUGGCUUGAGUUUGGGAGAGGGAUGCGGAAUUCCAGGUGUAGCGGUGAAAUGCGUAGAUAUCUGGAGGAACACCGGUGGCGAAGGCGGCAUCCUGGACCAACACUGACGCUGAGGUGCGAAAGCGUGGGGAGCAAACAGG